UUGGUGGGAUAUAGCGAGAUUGAAGUCGAGCUGUAGUCGGUAAGGUUAAGAUACCUUUAUUCAGAUAAACACCAGCCAAACGCAAGCCAGAGAGUGCCCAGAGGCAGUAAGUAGGCUAGGGAGGCCAGAGAGAGGGCUCCCACGUGUCUGCCACCCCCUUAAGAACUCCCCACUCUUCAUCCUGAACCUCCCCUGACCACGCCCUGGCAGGUGUAGUCAAGCACACCUGUACCUAGUUCCUAGGAGGUGGGCCUACAAUGUCUCCCUACAAUUCCCCGUUUAGUCUAAAAGAGGAUUAAAACUUAAUAGUGUAAAACAUCCAAAAUUAACAAUCAUAAAGGUGAAAUACAAGAAGAUACAAUAAUCUGCUAUUGCACAUCCUAACUAUGUCUAUUCUGGCUAAGCCCUAAAGUCAUGUGAAAAGUGUGUCCAACUUGAACACCUCCUUUCAAUCCCAACUCUAAACAAUAAGAAAGUUAUUCCUAACUAGGCUUACACUACCCUAAUAGACAAUAAUGGGGAACAGGGGCAUAGCAUCUUCCAAGUUACUUCCUGCUGAAACUGGACGAAGGUAGCCUUGAGGGGUCCUGUGGGAAGAAAAUGUUAGUAUAGUGAAAGUCUCUAAUGGGUUAUCUCCAGUCUAUGUUAGAUGGGAUUUGCUUGAUUGAAGAUCUAGGUUGAAAUCCUCAAUUUGAUUGAAGUCAGUACCCGAAGAUCUGGUCGGAGUGUCAGUUGAAACGGAGUAAGUUGGAUCUAGUGCAGUCGAAGCGGUAUGGCCCAAUUCCUUUUCUGGAGCAUCCAGGGAUUGUUGUCAGGCAGGUCCUCAUUGGCUAUAUGGGACUCAAACAUAAGUUUUUCUUUGUCAUCUUUCCCCUCCACCAUUUCUCUGUUUCUCUGGCAUAGGGUUUCACUAUAGAGUCCUGGCUGGCCUGGGACUCAUAGCUAGACAAAGGCUUUCAACUUGCAAGGAUCCUUGGGCCUCUUCUUCCUGAAUGUUGGGUGACAGAUAUGUGUCACCACACCCUGCUUGAAAGCUUUGCUCCUCUAUAGCCAGUUGUAUCCUGC
rnacentral:lncRNA from 1 species